rnacentral:rRNA from 1 species
GAUGAACGCUGGCGGCGUGCCUAAUACAUGCCAGUCGAGCGAACAGACGAGGAGCUUGCUCCUCUGACGUUAGCGGCGGACGGGUGAGUAACACGUGGAUAACCUACCUAUAAGACUGGGAUAACUUCGGGAAACCGGAGCUAAUACCGGAUAAUAUAUUGAACCGCAUGGUUCAAUAGUGAAAGACGGUUUUGCUGUCACUUAUAGAUGGAUCCGCGUCGCAUUAGCUAGUUGGUAAGGUAACGGCUUACCAAGGCGACGAUGCGUAGCCGACCUGAGAGGGUGAUCGGCCACACUGGAACUGAGACACGGUCCAGACUCCUACGGGAGGCAGCAGUAGGGAAUCUUCGACAAUGGGCGAAAGCCUGACGGAGCAACGCCGCGUGAGUGAUGAAGGUCUUCGGAUCGUAAAACUCUGUUAUUAGGGAAGAACGAAUGUGUGAGUAACUAUUCAUGUCUUGACGGUAACUAAUCAGAAAGCCACGGCUAACUUCGUG